rnacentral:rRNA from 1 species
CACCGCCCGUCGCUCCUACCGAUUGAAUGGUCCGGUGAAGUGUUCGGAUCGCGGCGACGGGGGCGGUUCGCCGCCCCCGACGGCGCGAGAAGUCCAUUGAACCUUAUCAUUUAGAGGAAGGAGAAGUCGUAACAAGGUUUCCGUAGGUGAACCUGCGGAAG